UACGUAGGGUGCGAGCGUUGUCCGGAAUUAUUGGGCGUAAAGAGCUCGUAGGCGGUUUGUUGCGUCGGCCGUGAAAACCCGCGGCUUAACUGCGGGCUUGCGGUUGAUACGGGCGGGCUAGAGUUCGGUAGGGGAGACUGGAAUUCCUGGUGUAGCGGUGAAAUGCGCAGAUAUCAGGAGGAACACCGGUGGCGAAGGCGGGUCUCUGGGCCGAUACUGACGCUGAGGAGCGAAAGCGUGGGGAGCGAACAGG
rnacentral:rRNA from 1 species